GACGAACGCUGGCGGCGUGCUUAACACAUGCAAGUCGAACGGAAAGGCCCUGCUUUUGUGUGGUGCCAGAGUGGCGAACGGGUGAGUAACACGUGAGUAUCCUGCCCUUGACUGUGGGAUAACUUCAGGCAACUGGUGAUAAUACCGGAUAGGAGCUCGUGCUGCAUGGUGGGGGUUGGAAAGUUUCGGCGGUUGGGGACGGACUGUCGGCUUAUCAGCUUGUUGGGGGGGUAUUGGCUUACCAAGGCUUUGACGGAUAGCCGGCGUGAGAGGGCGACCGGGGACAUGAGGCCUGAGAGACGGAGCAGACGCCUACGGGAGGCAGCGGUGGGGAGUAUGGCACAAUGGGGGGACGCCUGUGGCAGAGACGCCGCGUGUGGGAUGACGGCUUUCUGGGUGUAAACCGCUGUCGCCUGAGACGAAGCGUGAGUGACGGUAAUGGGUAAAGAAGCACCGGCUAACUACGUG
rnacentral:rRNA from 1 species